GAUGAACGCUGGCGGCGUGCCUAAUACAUGCAAGUCGAGCGAACAGACGAGGAGCUUGCUCCUCUGACGUUAGCGGCGGACGGGUGAGUAACACGUGGAUAACCUACCUAUAAGACUGGGAUAACUUCGGGAAACCGGAGCUAAUACCGGAUAAUAUAUUGAACCGCAUGGUUCAAUAGUGAAAGACGGUUUUGCUGUCACUUAUAGAUGGAUCCGCGCCGCAUUAGCUAGUUGGUAAGGUAACGGCUUACCAAGGCAACGAUGCGUAGCCGACCUGAGAGGCGGAUCGGCCACACUGGAACUGAGACACGGUCCAGACUCCUACGGGAGGCAGCAGUAGGGAAUCUUCCGCAAUGGGCGAAAGCUUGACGGAGCAACGCCGCGCGAGUGAUGAAGGUCUUCGGAUCGUAAAACUCUGUUAUUAGGGAAGAACAAAUGUGUAAGUAACUAUGCACGUCUUGACGGUACCUAAUCAGAAAGCCACGGCUAACUACGUG
rnacentral:rRNA from 1 species